CUCAGUCUCUCCGCCCCUUGUGAUGGCGUCUGAGGUAGAUGCGUGGCAGCCGUGAAGUUGUCGGGCGGUGGCGCAGGUGGUGCAGAGGGCCAAUACAACCAGCACAGCUCCAGAAUGCGUCCUUCCCAGAGUGGUUCAGGCAGGGCUGAAGGUGAGGAUGGUCACCGGGCCCCAGAAGGCCGGGGUGGGCCUGGCAGAGGAAGAGCGGCGAUGGAAGCUGCAGUAGCUCGUCCCCGGGGUGAGCGGGCACCAGGUGGCCUAGGACCUGCUGGAGAUGUAGCGCCCUUGGCUGUAAGGCCUAGACGUGGACAAGUGGUGCUCACACUCAGAGUGCCUUUCCAAUCGCCCCUGGAGGCAGACAUGGCUCGCAGAUCUCUGCUCCCAGAUGUCCAACGCCACCAAGGAUUGAUUCGGAAGGAAUUUGCAGUGAAUGGCAGUGACCUAAUUGUUAGGUGGACUGCUGAAGACCUUGCUUUCAUCCGACUUUCCAUCAACCCAUUCCUCGAUCAGCUGUCCCUGGUGAUUCGGAACACUCAGCGCCGUGGGCUCCCACCUCCCUAAAGCCUAGGCUGAGGAAAGGGGCUGAGGCCUAACCUUGUGUCCCCGACUCGGCAAGGCAUAGGUAAUUCAAACUAUGCCACUUUGUUAUCAAGUAAUCGCCACUUUGUUAUGUGAGUCUAUGUUUUUGCCUGUACUGGCCUUUGGUAUCUCUUGGGUCGUUUGCUUUGUUUCCCUGCUGCUUGAGGAGUGGGAUGCUUCAGUGUUUAUUCAGCAGAAAAUAAAUCUAAGCUACUA